UACGUAGGUGGCGAGCGUUGUCCGGAUUUACUGGGCGUAAAGAGCGCGCAGGCGGUUUUUUAAGCCAGAUGUGAAAUCCCCGGGCUUAACCUGGGAACUGCGUUUGAAACUACAAGGCUAGAGUGUAGCAGAGGGGGGUGGAAUUCCACGUGUAGCAGUGAAAUGCGUAGAGAUGUGGAGGAACACCGAUGGCGAAGGCAGCCCCCUGGGCUAACACUGACGCUCAGGCACGAAAGCGUGGGGAGCAAACAGG
rnacentral:rRNA from 1 species